rnacentral:tRNA from 1 species
GGGGUGUCAGUUGGUAGAGUGUGGUACUAAUUAUGCCAAGGUCAUGGGUUCGAGCCCCAUAUGGAUCA